rnacentral:rRNA from 1 species
GACGAAGGGGGCUAGCGUUGUUCGGAAUUACUGGGCGUAAAGCGAGUGUAGGUGGUUGUCCAAGUUGGAUGUGAAAGCCUUGAGCUCAACUCAAGAAAUGCAUUCAGGACUGGAUGACUAGAGGACCGGAGAGGAUAGUGGAAUUCCCAGUGUAGUGGUGAAAUACGUAGAGAUUGGGAAGAACACCAGUGGCGAAGGCGGCUAUCUGGACGGUU